CUUGCUUCUCUUGAGAGCGGCGGACGGGUGAGUAAUGCCUAGGAAUCUGCCUGGUAGUGGGGGAUAACGUCCGGAAACGGACGCUAAUACCGCAUACGUCCUACGGGAGAAAGCAGGGGACCUUCGGGCCUUGCGCUAUCAGAUGAGCCUAGGUCGGAUUAGCUAGUUGGUGGGGUAAUGGCUCACCAAGGCGACGAUCCGUAACUGGUCUGAGAGGAUGAUCAGUCACACUGGAACUGAGACACGGUCCAGACUCCUACGGGAGGCAGCAGUGGGGAAUAUUGGACAAUGGGCGAAAGCCUGAUCCAGCCAUGCCGCGUGUGUGAAGAAGGUCUUCGGAUUGUAAAGCACUUU
rnacentral:rRNA from 1 species